rnacentral:rRNA from 1 species
GACAGAGGGGGCAAGCGUUGCUCGGAAUUACUGGGCGUAAAGGGCGCGUAGGCGGUCUUGUAAGUCUUGUGUGAAAUCCCUCGGCUUAACUGAGGACGUGCGGAAGAAACUGCAAGGCUCGAGUCCGGGAGAGGGGGGUGGAAUUCCCAGUGUAGCGGUGAAAUGCGUAGAUAUUGGGAGGAACACCGGUGGCGAAGGCGGCCCCCUGGACCGGUACUGACGCUGAGGCGCGAAAGCGUGGGUAGCAAACGGG